rnacentral:snRNA from 1 species
CGAUACAGAGAAGACUAGCAUGGCCCCUGCACAAGAAUGACAUGCAAAUUCAUGAGGCAUUCCAUAUUUUU